CCAUGCAUUACCGGGUUGGGUCUCCUCUGGCAGUAACUUGCCUGGUCGUCGAUGACCUAGCUAGCGUUGCGUGCAGAGACACUGCCAAAGGAGAUUUGCCCAGCAAUGCAGUC
rnacentral:pre_miRNA from 1 species